rnacentral:rRNA from 1 species
UACGUAGGGUGCGAGCGUUAAUCGGAAUUACUGGGCGUAAAGGGUGCGCAGGCGGUUUUGUAAGCCAGAUGUGAAAUCCCCGGGCUUAACCUGGGAACUGCAUUUGGGACUGCAAGGCUAGAGUACGGCAGAGGGGGGUAGAAUUCCACGUGUAGCAGUGAAAUGCGUAGAUAUGUGGAGGAAUACCGAUGGCGAAGGCAGCCCCCUGGGUCGAUACUGACGCUCAGGCACGAAAGCGUGGGGAGCAAACAGG